AGACAUAAGGAGGAAAAACAUUUUCAAAGAUAAGAAUACCAUGAUAAUAGAAGUCUUGAUUUGUGAUCUUGGGAAAAGCUGUUCACAUGAAGAAUGUCAUCUUCUUCUGGAGAGAAACUUUCUCAGUUGAAAAUGUGGAAACGAUGACUUGAGAAGAUAUCAUAAGGCUGGAAACUUAAUUUGAAUUGAUUGAUUUAAAGUGGGAACUUUAAGGAAUGAAGAAAUAAAACCAAAGCUAUGACUUCAAGAACUAGCUGUAGAUGACCAAUGUAGAGUUUCACUGUUGUUACCCAGACUGGAGUGCAACGGAGCGAUCUCGGCUCACCGCAACCUCCGCCUUGUUCAAGCAAUUCUCCUGCCUCAGCCUCCUGAGUAGUAGCUGGGAUUACAGGCACGCGCCACCAUGCCCAGCUAAUUUUUUUAUUUUUCGUAGAGACGGGGUUUCACCUUGUUGACUAGGAUGGUCUCUAUCUCUUGACCUCGUGAUCCACCAGCCUCGGCCUCCCAAAGUCCUGGGAUUAUAGGCGUGAGCCACCGCGCCCGGCCUACUAAGGAAGUACUUAUUC
rnacentral:lncRNA from 13 species